rnacentral:rRNA from 1 species
AAUCAACGCUGGCGGCGUGCCUCAGACAUGCAAGUCGAACGCGAAAGAGGGCUUCGGCCCUUGAGUAGAGUGGCGCACGGGUGAGUAACACGUGGGUAAUUUACCUUUGGGUGGGGAAUAACAGUCGGAAACGGCUGCUAAUACCGCAUAAUGCAGCGGCUCCACAUGGAGACAGUUGUUAAAGCGGGGGAGCGAGCAAUCGCCCUCGCGCCUGAAGGGAAGCCCGCGGCAGAUUAGCUAGUUGGUGAGGUAAUGGCUCACCAAGGCUUCGAUCUGUAGCCGGCCUGAGAGGGCGGUCGGCCACACUGACACUGAAUAACGGGUCAGACUCCUACGGGAGGCAGCAGUCGGGAAUUUUGGGCAAUGGGCGCAAGCCUGACCCAGCAACGCCGCGUGAAGGAU